CAAUCACGGUCCAGAUAGCUGGGUAGGGUUGUAUAUAUACUCUGGGUUCCUGACAGAAUUUUCAUUGAAAAUUUUUUUUUUUUGCAAAAUAAAAGACUACAACCUUGAAUGACAAACUGCUUUUCGAGAUUCCUACAUUGGAGAUUUAUCUACCUACAAGAGACCACAUACAAAAAAGCCUACUAAGGCCAUUUCUCAUCUCACUUUUUUCCAUUCAAGACUGAAUAGGAAAAUGAGACCCAGAAGAGUCUGUCCUGAAAAGGAAGCUUUGAAAUUCAUUGCAUCUGGGAAAGAUAAAGACAUAUUUCAAAAAAAAUUUAUGAGUCAAGAGAAAGGUUAUGGAGUAAUAGCCAGCAGAAACAUUGAGGCAGGAGAAUUCCUGCUUGAGUAUGCUGGAAGACACAUGGCUGGAUCUGAAGGAGAGGCUCUGUUCAAAGAGUACUCGGCUGAAGAUGCUGCAUUUCUGUAUUUCUACUCCUUCCAGGGACAUUUUUACUGGUAAGAUAUUUUGCUUUUAUAAAAAAAAAAAAAU